CCUACGGGGGGCAGCAGUAGGGAAUUUUCGUCAAUGGGCGCAAGCCUGAACGAGCAAUGCCGCGUGAACGAGGAAGGUCUUCGGAUCGUAAAGUUCUGUUGAAGGGGAAAAAGAGCGGAGAGAGGAAAUGAACUCCGAUUGAUAUUACCCUUCGAGGAAGUCACGGCUAACUACGUGCCAGCAGCCGCGGUAAUACGUAGGUGGCGAGCGUUAUCCGGAAUGAUUGGGCGUAAAUGGUGCGUAGGCGGCCUGCUAAGUCUGGAGUGAAAGGUACCGGCUCAACCGGGACAGGCUCUGGAAACUGGCGGGCUAGAGAGGAGGAGAGGGCGGUGGAAGUCCAUGUGGAGCGGUAAAAUGCGUAGAUAUAUGGAAGGACACCAGUGGCGAAGGCGGCCGCCUGGCCUGUUGACUGACGCUGAGGCACGAAAGCGUGGGGAGCAAAUAGGAUUAGAUACCCUAGUAGUC
rnacentral:rRNA from 1 species